AUGUGUGGCUUGGAAGAAGAAAGUGCUUACCAUAUCUUCUUCGCCUGUGGUAAAACAAUUGAUACAUGGCAGGCCAUCUUAAAAUGGAUGAGAAUCAUCCAUAAUCUGGGGCCUUGGAAUGCUGAGAUGAAUUGGAUAUUAGUGAAUACAAAAGGAAAGGGUUGGAGGGCAUUUUUACUUAAGAUUGCUAUUACUGAAGCCAUUCAUGAGACUUGGUUACUCAGGAACUCUGUUAUUUUUGAAAGUAAUACAAAUAGGAAAAAUAUAGUGGAGAAAAUUAUUGACUGUAUAGUGUAUAGAGGAUGGAGAAAUAGGAAGUUUAGGCAACACAUUGCUAGCCUUCUGAUAUAG